ACAAAUCAGCUUAUCUUUUUUUUAAUAAUUUGCUUACAUCAUUCCGAAACGAAAUAAGGCUUUUUAUUAAACGUGCAAAAUCAUCUCGCUACUUAACUCAGGAGCAAUGUCAUCAAUCAACACGCUCGUUUGCAUUUUGUGUUCAUGUAUGUAUAUAUAUACUUGUUGUACACAUAUACAGCCAUCUUAGUUCUGGUGACAGAUCACGCAUAAAGACUCGACGUUAUCAUCGUGACAUGAUUAGCAGUAUUGACUUCUGAGUUGACUAGUGAGAGAAUGAAUACUUUGUGACUAAAUGUAUUAUAAGGAUUAAGCACACUUGUCAUACACUUGUUUAUAGCAUGUGAUUAUAUUAUUAUCGAACAUCUAAUAAGCAUUCUCCAAUUGCAUGCCACCUUCGGUAUAGACACGACGUAGUAUUCUAAAUGUUCUAAUUCGUUCAUUAAGUUCGGAUGCGUAAAAGCAAAUAAACAUUGGACCACUAUAUAGUUCUGCAUUUAUCUAACUUCAAAGUUCUUCGAUUAUGUUAAUGUGUGUUUUGUAAACGGCUGAUUAUAAAUAUCCUGACAAGUAUGUAAAUCGUUAACAUCGACAUAAAUAAUUGUCACACUGGCAAGUUGACAAGUAUAUACACAAUUAUUAUAAACAGGAAAUGUGAUUACUAUUUCAGCCAGAAAGUAUCACCGAAUUACAUUAUUAGAUAAAAAAAUCAUGGAGGUUAACACCAAAUAUCUUAUACAUAUAUUUAUAAUAAAUUAAUGGAAAAAUGGAUUUAUCGUUUAAUAAAAUAAUGAUAUUAAAAAAAAUUUUGAAGGGGAAGUAUAAAUAAUAUUUCAUGAAUGUUUCAUGGUUUCCAAAAGUCUACAAAUUUGCCUCUAUUAAAGAACGCUGUCAAUCAUUGUUCAAAAAAUAUCAAAACCGACCGAGUUCUAUGUAUAUACAAUUUAACAAUCAAUGUCUGAAAAAUCUGUAAGACAUUUUCAAAGCAUUAAAAAGGCUAUCAUAAUUACAAGAAUAUGGUUCUUAAAUUAUAACAGGUUGGUUACAAUUGGUUACAAUAUUAUAAUAAAAUUAUCAAAUUUAAUUCAUCUUCCUAAUACGUCUUUUUAAUGCUCCAAAAACUACUUAUCAAGACUUACGAUCAAAUGGGGUUUCAGAUCCAAGAAAAACUUAAAAACAAAUAGUUUUAUCGAUUACUUAUGAAGCGGAAACUCGUCAAAGACUGAUUGGUCCGAGCAGGGUAUGUAAAUGGUACCCUGUCUUUCAAGAAAAUUUUAAAUAAGGAGAAACUCGGUCGAAUAAUCAAUCUUACAAUAUUAUGCUCUUUACUGACUAUGAACAAAAUUAUACGCUUUCAUCUAA